rnacentral:rRNA from 1 species
AACGAACGCUGGCGGCAUGCCUAACACAUGCAAGUCGAACGAGACCUUCGGGUCUAGUGGCGCAUGGGUGCGUAACGCGUGGGAACCUGCCCUUAGGUUCGGAAUAACUCCCCGAAAGGGGUGCUAAUACCGGAUAAUGUCUUCGGACCAAAGAUUUAUCGCCUUUGGAUGGGCCCGCGUUGGAUUAGCUUGUUGGUAGGGUAAAAGCCUACCACGGCGACGAUCCAUAGCUGGUCUGAGAGGAUGAUCAGCCACACUGGGACUGGGACACGGCCCAGACUCCUACGGGAGGCAGCAGUGGGGAAUAUUGGACAAUGGGCGAAAGCCUGAACCAGCAAUGCCGCGUGAGUGAUGAAGGCCUUAGGGUUGUAAAGCUCUUUUACCCGGGAUGAUAAUGACAGUACCGGGAGAAUAAGCUCCGGCUAACUCCGUG